GAUGAACGCUAGCGGGAGGCCUAACACAUGCAAGCCGAGCGGUAGAGUUUCUUCAGAAACUUGAGAGCGGCGCACGGGUGCGUAACACGUCUGCAACCUACCUUUAUCUGGGGGAUAGCCUUUCGAACGGAAGAUUAAUACCCCAUAAUAUAAUGAUUGGCAUCAAUUAUUAUUGAAAACUCUGGUGGCUAGAGAUGGGCACUCGCACGAUUAGAUAGUUGGUGAGGUAACGGCUCACCAAGUCAAUGAUCUUUAGGGGUCCUGAGAGGGAGAUCCCCCACACGGGGACUGAGACACGGACCAGAGUCCGACGGGAGGCAGCAGAGAGGAAUCUUGGACUAUGGGUGAGAGCCUGAUCCAGCCAACCCGCGUGAAGGAUGACGGUCCUAUGGAUUGUAAACUUCUUUUGUACAGGGAUACACCCACCCUCGUGAGGGUAGCUGAAGGUACUGUACGAAUAAGCACCGGCUAACUUCGUG
rnacentral:rRNA from 1 species